UGAGAAUCAGCUCCUCUUCCCUCUAUUCAGAGCCCAGGGAGAGGGCACAGUUCAUGAGCCCCACUGCCCAGGGCCAGAAAGUUAGGCUCAAGGAGGACUGUGGUGCGUGCACGCGCACGCGCCCACACACACACACACACAACUCCCAGUAGGAGGAAGGGGAUUCCAAUACAGAGAUGAACUGCUGAGAUUAAAGAAAGGGGAAGAUUAGCUGGGCCAUGCCCUUCAGGAUGCACCCCAUGGAGGUGACUUCCCUAAAGUAACUCAUCUAGUAAACUGAGAAGCCAGCCAUGGUCUCAGGACUCCUAGGUCCAGAUGUCACACAGGAGUGUGGAGAGGCAGGCUGAGGGAGUGGGAUGAGCACUGUACAUGGAAGCAAAGUCUAGACUUAGAAUCCCAGCUCUGACAGCUACUUGCUGUCACCCUCAACACAUCCCUUCCCUCCUCUGGACUCCCUCAUCACAAUUCUCUAUAAAAAAUGUGCUUUGUUCUCACUAAUGCCACCUCAAGGCCUCCCUACACCUCAGAUCUUAUGCUCAGAGACCAUGAGCUCCUGAUGGUCAGUUCUGCAUAGAACUGGAGCCCCAGUGGAGUCCUCGUGUUGAGGACCAGCCCUGGGAUGGAAGUGCCCAGGUUCCAGGGACAAAGGAGACAUCUCACAAACAUUUAGUGGGUAUGUUUAGGCAGAAAACUUGCCUGUGUCUAAAGGGUGGCAGUGGCCCCUCCAGCUCUUGACCUCUGUCGCACUCAAGACAGUCUCUCUUUCCAGGUCCACCGAGUGCAUUCCACAAGCAAGGAUGAAACACUUAACUCCAGAGUUCAGCUAAGAUGGGACCAGGAGGCCCAGGUCUCCUCGCUUAGAUGUGAGUCUAAGGCUGGGACCCAGAGAAGGUCCAAAAGCACAGGAAAUUCUCCCUGCAGACAUUGUGAUGUCCCUAUGGCCAACGUUUGGAUGGAGGAGGGGCUCCUGGGGAGAGCAAGGUGUAAAGGGUCAUUCCAGGAACCAAGUACCCAAAUUUUAGGGGCAAAGGACAAGUCUCCCAGGACACUGACAGACUGAGAAGACAUAGAAGAACCCAGAAUUUUUGGCCAGAGAAAAACAGAGAUCUCCCCAUGUUUCCUGCAGAUGAGAUCUCCUUCUGCCUUCCUCCACUGGAGCUGAGAUCUCUCUGCCUUGUGGGAGCCAGCCCUGCAGGUGCCAGGUAGGUCUGAAGGAGGGCCCCUUCCCACACCCCACUUCUGCUGGCUGCCCUUUCCAUUGGGCAUCAUCUUCCCCCUCUGACCUCCUGGUGAUUGUCUUCCAGCUUUGCCAGGAGCAGGCCU